AGUUUGAUCCUGGCUCAGAAUGAACGCUGGCGGCAGGCCUAAAACAUGCAAGUCGAACGCUGUAGCAAUACAGAGUGGCGCACGGGUGAGUAACAUGUGGGAAUAUGCCUAUUGGUACGGAACAACGUCUGGAAACGGACGCUAAUACCGUAUGGUCCCUUCGGGGUAAAGAUUUAUCGCCAAUAGAUUAGCCCGCACUAGAUUAGCUAGUUGGUGAGGCAAGAGCUCACCAAGGCGACGAUCUAUAGCUGGUCUGAGAGGACGAUCAGCCACACUGGGACUGAGACACGGCCCAGAUUCCUACGGGAGGCAGCAGUUAGGAAUAUUGGACAAUGGGCGCAAGCCUGAUCCAGCCAUGCCGCGUGAGUGAUGAAGGCCUUCGGGUUGUAAAACUCUUUAGCCGAUGAAUAUAAUGACUGUAGUCGGAAAAUAAGCCCCGGCUAACUUCGUGCCAGCAGCCGCGGUAAUACGAAGGGGGCGAGCGUUAUUCGGAAUCACUGGGCGUAAAGCGUGCGUAGGCUGCUUAGAAAGUUGGGAGUGAAAGCCCAGGGCUCAACCCUGGAAUUGCUCUCAAAACUACUAGGCUCGGAUUCGGGAGAGGAUAGCGGAAUUGUCAGUGUAGCAGUGAAAUGCGUAGAUAUUGACAGGAACACCAGUGGCGCAAGCGGCUAUCUGGACCGACAUCGACGCUGAGGCACGAAAGCGUGGGGAUCAAACAGGAUUAGAUACCCUGGUAGUCCA
rnacentral:rRNA from 1 species